ACCCAGCUGACGAGUUCAAAAUAGGAUGAAGCGCGCAUCCUGGAU
rnacentral:hammerhead_ribozyme from 1 species